CCACCAAACUAACAAGGAUUCCCCUAGUAACUGCGAGUGAAGCGGGAAAAGCUCAAAUUUAAAAUCUGGCGGUUCUUGUAGCCGUCCGAGUUGUAAUUUAGAGAAGUGUUAUCCGCGCUGGACCGUGUACAAGUCUCCUGGAAUGGAGCGUCAUAGAGGGUGAGAAUCCCGUCUUUGACACGGACUGCCAGGGCAUUGUGAUGCGCUCUCAAAGAGUCGAGUUGUUUGGGAAUGCAGCUCAAAAUGGGUGGUAAAUUCCAUCUAAAGCUAAAUAUUGAGGAGAGACCGAUAGCGAACAAGUACCGUGAGGGAAAGAUGAAAAGAACUUUGGAAAGAGAGUUAAACAGUACGUGAAAUUGCUGAAAGGGAAACGCUUGAAGUCAGUCGCGUUGUUCAGGACUCAGCCUUGCUUUGCUUGGUGUACUUCCUGUUCGACGGGUCAGCAUCAAUUUUGGUCGGUGGAUAAAGGCUUAGAGAAUGUGGCAUCUUCGGGUGUUGGCUUGGGUCGCAUACAUCGGCUGGGAUUGAACUCAGCAGCGCAAGGCCGGGUACUUGUACCACGUACGUGCUUAGGAUGCUGGCAUAAUGGCUUUAAUCGACCCGUCUUGAACACGG
rnacentral:rRNA from 1 species